UUUCGAUACGCAGGUGAUCACGCGGCGGUGGCACUGGUUUCACAGAACCAUUCAACUGUUUUGUUGACGUAAAGGCAUAUGCAAAUAAAAGCUGUUGCUGCAUUGUUAUUUUGUUAGUUAUGAAAGUGGUGUGUAAAUGGCGAAAAACUAAAAAUGAGGUUAUGUAAGCAUUGUGGGUGAGUACGUUUGUAAGUAAGUAAGUAAGUGUGAAAGUUAAAUGAAAAUAAGAGUGUUAAAAGUGUUUACUUUAGCUUUUCCUAUAGCGUACGGUGUCCAAGCUGAGCGCAGCGGGCAUUUAAAUACGACAGGUGAGUAUUUAUUUAUUACUAUUAUUUUUUUAAUUAUGCACAUUUAAUAUUUUUCUUUCAUUUCAGUGUCAUACACAGAGCGGGAAAUGUUGCUGAGCGCAUAUUACACACAACGCAUGGUUCAAAUAUAUACUGGAAACAGUAGCAGUCAGCAGGAUAAUUGAAAAAUUUAUAAAAUAAAAAGAAAAAAUUAAAGAAAGGGUCAACCAGAAAUUUUGUUCGACGCGAUGUUAAUACACGUCAAGUGUUUAAAUGCCAAACAAAUAGUGAAUAAUAGCAGAGUAUUGCAAAAGUAAAUGAAAUAAAAAGAAAAAAUUUUGAAAACGAACCGUGGAAUAUAUUGCUUGGAGCUACAGCGUUGCAUUUGAACAGCGCCUCUUUGAACCUGUUGCAUUCUUGCGCCUGCAUUUGACAACUCAAAUUAUGGACGCGCGUAGUUUGGCACUUAAAUGUGGCUGCUGAGGCGCUGCAGUCUGGCUUCAGAAACACUUUGCUGCAUUUAAACUGUGCAAAGGUAAAGGAAAACUUUCGAAUUACCAAACAUUUAUACGCGCUGAUAACUUUUGCCUGAGAAUGAGCAAUUUGUUGCAAAGAGAACUUUCACAGCGCUAAGUGUAACACUUUAAGUUUUGGCAAAAAGUGAAAAAAGUGCAAAAAAAUUGGGUCAAUUUGGGAUUUCGGCAUGCUUUACCCCGCAUGCCGUUGCAACAUGCCAGAUUAGUUGCCACAAACCGCGAUUACAAGCACACGGCCAAGAGGUGUUUUCAGGUCAGUUGCGAUACAUAUGUAUAUAGUUGCCAGCAAUAACCGCCACUAUACUUUUAAUACUUAGUCAUGCAAUUACUAUACCAACAGCUGUUCGUAUAAGAAACCGUCAUCAGCGUUUGUGGCACGAUUUACUUGACUCUACGAUAAGUAUCUGCAACAUGUGCUGCUAUGCAACGCUGACUGGCCAGCUUCUCAGGUGGCAGCAUGGGUAAUAGCGAUUUUCACACGUUAAUGCAAACGAGCGCUGGCGGCUUGUGGGGAGAGAGCGACAUGUUAGCGGUGGCGGCGACAUUUAAAAUUAUUAUUAUUGCUUUAAUUUCCGGCGGCAGUCGUAGGGAACUAAAAGGAACUCGCUCGUUGCCAAGCAACCACAACAGAGAGCAAAAAGCGACGCUGGAAAUGAGAAAUUUUUGCACGUGCCUGCGGGGAUGUGUACAACUACUAAAAUACUCUUAUGUGAAAUUUAAUUUUCCAUAGCUCAAGUGGUAGAGCAGCGCUUACAACGGGAGAUAGCCGAGUGAGAUUGGAAUUUGAAAUAUUACAAUUUAUCUCAACGCGAAAGUAAUGCCAUGUGGAGUAGCGAUGGCUAAGGGCCAAUGCCGUGCAAAAAAACAAAAAAAAAAAAAAGCGGAAAAAUAGAUAAAACACAUUUUAGUGGGAGUAACGAUAGAGCUCGCAACAUUAGUAGCUGUAUAAACGCGACCGAACGACCGAGGUGGAGGUGAACCAUAAAAUUACACUAGUAAAAAUGCCAUAUUUGCAGAAGAGUGGCAGCGUGGAAACGUGCGGACACUUAAACGUAUUACAAAUCACAGAUAAUCUUACAAGCAAAGGCAUGUCGCGCUGCGUAGGGAGGUCGGACAAUCGAAAUGCCGAAACAUGUAAGACACGCGCCAGUAGUAGUCGCAACUCGCCGAUACUAAAAGAAAUAAAAAGAAAAAAUUACAAAAUUCACGUGCAGCGGGAAAACUCCACAAAAAAUGUCACAAAGAAUGACAACAAUUGGUGACCUGCCAGCGUAUACAUAUGUACAUAUGUAGCUCACUUUAAUGCACAUAUUUUUCAAGCUUUUGCACACAAAAUACGCUAUUACCCACCCUUGGGCGGCAGGAAGACAUGGCAUAUAUGCGCACAAAGUGUCGCUGGUACCGCCAUCGCUGCCGUGCAAAAGGGGGAAUUUUCAAAGCGUCGCUCAUGCAGUGCGGUCCUAGCAAUUGCCAAAAUGUUAAGCGCAACAUGUGCGCUCAGUAGCACCAAAUGUGGCGGAAAUCUCAGUCACAGCAGGCGCUGUCAUGCACGCACUCGCAACACAACCGCUUCCGUAUGCGGCAUAACGAUGCUCGACUGUCAUGAAAACAGUGAAAUGUAAAAGCGACACUGGUGGAGGUUUCAAAAGAGAUGCACGUGAGCCGAAAGUGAGGCAGCGUGCGCGAGCAACAGAGCACGCGUUGGAUUCGCAUAUGUAAUUGUACGCCAUCCCCUUUGCCAACUCACCCCGCAAGCUUUAACAAUGCUUUAAUAUACAACAAAUCAUAAUAUCUCCGCGCCGUCAGAAACAGUGAUUGCAGCGACGCCACUCUGAUGGUUCAAGUGCGAGGACAGGGCAGAGCAGAACAGAGCAGAGAUAAAGGGAAAAACUAACAAACCGACUUACAUCAUUUUUUAUAGGCGAAAGAAGUGCACAUAAUGCUAAUAAUGCGAGUUGGAGUAAUUUUGGGUGCGCAAAAGUUUUUAUGGAUAGUGAAAUGUAAGAGCGUGUGUGCAAAUGAUAAAGUGCUUUCAAUGGCGAUAAAGACAUUUGCGAACGUGGAGGACGAGCGUGGAGGACGAGCGUGGAGGCGGUGAUAGCCAUUCAAUAGGACUUGGCAGCUCAACAAGUGGGGAAGUCGACAACCAGAGCGGCAAGGACGCACUUCAACCAGCUGUGGACAUAAAUCACAAAAUUUUCGCAGGAUAAGUGCUAACAUGCACGGCAGUCUACACUCACCAUUAUCUUGAUUUACCGAAAGCAUUGUCAACAUUUCCUGAUCUAUCAUCUCUUUACUG
rnacentral:lncRNA from 1 species